UUCUUAAACUAGGAUUAGAUACCCUAUUAUUCUAAGAAUAAAAUGCUUUACUUGAUUAUUAAUUGCUAUGUUCUUGAAAUUUAGAGAAUUUGGCGGUAUUUAAGUCUAGUUAGAGGAACCUGCUUCUUAAAACGAUAAUCCACGAAGUAUCUUAUUUUCUUUUGUCAUUCAGUUUGUAUACCUCCAUUAUUAGGUGUAGCUAAAAAGCUUUUACUUAAAUAUAAUAAAUUUAUAAUAUAUUAGGUCAAGGUGCAGCCUAUAAGAAAAUUGAUUGUGGGUUACAUUUUUAUUUAAACUCGGAUAGAAGAAUCAAAUUUCUUCUUGAAGCUGGAUUUAAUUGUAAAUUUAAUUUAAUAUGUUAAAUUGAUAUUAGCUCUUAAAUAUGUACACAUCGCCCGCUAAUAAA
rnacentral:rRNA from 1 species